ACAAUUACUCUACAGCUCAGAACAGCAACUGCUGAGGCUGCCUUGGGAAGAAGAUGAUCCUAAACAAAGCUCUGAUGCUGGGGGCCCUCGCCCUGACCACCGUGAUGAGCCCUUGUGGAGGUGAAGACAUUGUGGCUGACCACGUUGCCUCUUACGGUGUAAACUUGUACCAGUCUUACGGUCCCUCUGGCCAGUUCACCCAUGAAUUUGAUGGAGACGAGGAGUUCUAUGUGGACCUGGAGAGGAAGGAGACUGUCUGGAAGUUGCCUCUGUUCCACAGACUUAGAUUUGACCCGCAAUUUGCACUGACAAACAUCGCUGUGCUAAAACAUAACUUGAACAUCCUGAUUAAACGCUCCAACUCUACCGCUGCUACCAAUGAGGUUCCUGAGGUCACAGUGUUUUCCAAGUCUCCCGUGACACUGGGUCAGCCCAACACCCUCAUCUGUCUUGUGGACAACAUCUUUCCUCCUGUGGUCAACAUCACCUGGCUGAGCAAUGGGCACUCAGUCACAGAAGGUGUUUCUGAGACCAGCUUCCUCUCCAAGAGUGAUCAUUCCUUCUUCAAGAUCAGUUACCUCACCUUCCUCCCUUCUGCUGAUGAGAUUUAUGACUGCAAGGUGGAGCACUGGGGCCUGGAUGAGCCUCUUCUGAAACACUGGGGUGCAUCACCAUCUACAGCAGCGGAAGAGU
rnacentral:misc_RNA from 1 species